CAAAUCCUCUCAUUAUUAUCUCACAUAUCUACUCUAAUUUCAUGUCCAAUUUUGCUUUUCUCUUCUGUAAUUCAAUUUUGUUGUUAUUGUUCCUUAUCUUUUGGCAAAAACCCUAAAUUGCACAAGUUUCUUUCUUUAUGAUUUGUGGGUACACUACUAGAAAUUUCCCCAAUAGCACCUGCUUAGCCACUGUUUGUUGGCCACCAAAAAUCAUCAGUGGGUGUUUGGAAUAGUAUCACACCAUUGCAAUUUAUCAGUGGGAUAUUUUUGUUGUCUCACUGUUAACGGUGGCUGUGAAGCACAAUACAUAUCUCUUUUGUAUAUUUAAUUCAUUAAACCUACUGAAACAGUGUGAAUAUUAAUAUUAAAUAAUAAACUCAUGGGUCCCGUUUUGAUAUAGUAUUAUUAUCGAUCAUAAUAAAAUCAGUGUUUUUUAUUUUAUUUUUCCAUUAAAAAUGAUACUAUAUAUGUUCCUCACUUACUCGUCGGGGUGGUUAGGGGGAGAGAGAGAAAGAGAGAGAGAGAGAGAGAGAGGCGUAUUACAGAAACGAAGAGAAAAAAGAAAAGAAAAGAGAAGAGGCGAUCUGAUAGAUCCAGAGCCUAUCCCGCAGAUCCAUAAACUAGCAGCUCUAAGCAGACAAGAUCGGUGGAGAUCAGCUGAGAGCUCGUCGUUUAUGGAUCGGUGGAGAUGGCGGUGGCAGUGCGGAAAGAUGAUUGGUCGAAAGCAAAUCUGUUCAAGUCCUGCACAGGCUCUUCGUCUUCCACUGCACCAGUAUUGGUCAUUUGGUCUUGGCCUUAAUCUUUGGGGUAGCCUUGAUUGCUUAAAACCAGUUUGCUUCAAGAGGACAUUCAACUGGACUGAAACUAAUCCUUACUGAAUCCGUUUCUUUCUCUGAUUGGAGCUGGUCUAAUGCUAAACAUCAAUCUCAUAAACUACACAAGCCUUAGGACAGGUAGAUGCUAAAUGAUCUGUAGGAGAUCAAUCAAAUAAGGCAAGAAUUUGAAGUAGGGAAUAUGCUUUACUGGCUCAAGCAGGUUCUACACUUCAUCCCCCAAGUUCCUGAUGCCAUUUCUCUAUAGGACUGUGUUCCUCCCAUGUUUCUCAAUUACGACGUCUCUGCCUUCAGUGGCUAUUAGUGGCAAUAUCAAGCAUGACCAAGAAUUCUAAAACCACUCCACAAAUUUUAUUCUUCCAAAAAGGGUGCGAUUGCAACGUACUCUUUCUAAGUUACGAGAUUGACUAUGAAAACUUGUUGGAGGUGGCAGAUGCAGCCACGGAGAGGGACAAGAAGAUAUCUAAGUUUUUUUUAUGUUGUAUUUUAUUUGAGAUAGUAU